GAUGAACGCUGGCGGCGUGCCUAAUACAUGCAAGUCGAGCGAACAGACGAGGAGCUUGCUCCUCUGACGUUAGCGGCGGACGGGUGAGUAACACGUGGAUAACCUACCUAUAAGACUGGGAUAACUUCGGGAAACCGGAGCUAAUACCGGAUAAUAUAUUGAACCGCAUGGUUCAAUAGUGAAAGUCGGUUUUGCUGUCACUAAUAGAUGGAUCCGCGCCGCAUUAGCUAGUUGGUAAGGUAACGGCUUACCAAGGCAAGUAUGCGUAGCCGACCUGAGAGGGGGAUCGGCCGCACUGGAACUGGGACGCGGUCCAGACUCCUACGGGAGGCAGCAGUAGGGAAUCGUCCGCAAAGGGCGAAAGCCUGACGGAGCAACGCCGCGUGAGUGAUGAAGGUCUUCGGAUCGUAAAGCUCUGUUAUUAGGGAAGAACAAAUGUGUAAGUAACUAUGCACGUCUUGACGGUACCUAAUCAGAAAGCCACGGCUAACUACGUG
rnacentral:rRNA from 1 species